CCUACGGGAGGCAGCAGUGGGGAAUAUUGCACAAUGGGGGAAACCCUGAUGCAGCGACGCCGCGUGAGGGAAGAAGGAUUUCGGAAUGUAAAGCUCUAUCAGCAGGGAAGAAAAAAGACGGUACCUGACUAAGAAGCCCCGGCUAACCACGUGCCAGCAGCCGCGGUAAUACGGAGGGGGCAAGCGUUAUCCGGAUUUACGGGGUGUAAAGGGAGCGUAGGCGGGGUAGCAAGUCGGAAGUGAAAGCCCGUGGCUUAACCAAGGUACUGCAUUGGAAACUGUUUGUCUAGAGUGCUGGAGAGGUAAGCGGAAUUCCUAGUGUAGCGGUGAAAUGCGUAGAUAUUAGGAGGAACACCAGUGGCGAAGGCGGCUUACUGGACAGUAACUGACGUUGAGGCUCGAAAGCGUGGGGAGCAAACAGGAUUAGAUACCCCUGUAGUC
rnacentral:rRNA from 1 species